rnacentral:rRNA from 1 species
GCUUACCAUGCAGUCGAACGAUGAAGCCCAGCUUGCUGGGUGGAUUAGUGGCGAACGGGUGAGUAACACGUGAGUAACCUGCCCUUAACUCUGGGAUAAGCCUGGGAAACUGGGUCUAAUACCGGAUAGGAGCGCCUACCGCAUGGUGGGUGUUGGAAAGAUUUAUCGGUUUUGGAUGGACUCGCGGCCUAUCAGCUUGUUGGUGAGGUAAUGGCUCACCAAGGCGACGACGGGUAGCCGGCCUGAGAGGGUGACCGGCCACACUGGGACUGAGACACGGCCCAGACUCCUACGGGAGGCAGCAGUGGGGAAUAUUGCACAAUGGGCGAAAGCCUGAUGCAGCGACGCCGCGUGAGGGAUGACGGCCUUCGGGUUGUAAACCUCUUUCAGUAGGGAAGAAGCGAAAGUGACGGUACCUGCAGAAGAAGCACCGGCUAACUACGUGCCAGCAGCCGCGGUAAUACGUAGGGUGCGAGCGUUAUCCGGAAUUAUUGGGCGUAAAGAGCUCGUAGGCGGUUUGUCGCGUCUGUCGUGAAAGUCCGGGGCUUAACCCCGGAUCUGCGGUGGGUACGGGCAGACUAGAGUGCAGUAGGGGAGACUGGAAUUCCUGGUGUAGCGGUGGAAUGCGCAGAUAUCAGGAGGAACACCGAUGGCGAAGGCAGGUCUCUGGGCUGUAACUGACGCUGAGGAGCGAAAGCAUGGGGAGCGAACAGGAUUAGAUACCCUGGUAGUCCAUGCCGUAAACGUUGGGCACUAGGUGUGGGGACCAUUCCACGGUUUCCGCGCCGCAGCUAACGCAUUAAGUGCCCCGCCUGGGGGAGUACGGGCCGCAAGGCUAAAACUCAAAAGGAAUUGACGGGGGGCCCGCACAAGCGGGCGGAGCAUGCCGGAUUAAUUUCGAUGCAACGCCGAAGAACCUUUACCAAGGCUUUGACAUGGUCUCCGAUCCGCCGUGGAAAAUACCGGUUUCCCCUUUUGGGGGCGGGUUCCCAAGGUGGGGGGCAUGGGUUGUCGUCAAGCUCCGGG